AGUCCGAGCACGUUGAAACAUCGCUGACACAUCUUUGCGGAUCGCAGGAAAAUAUGGCCUCGCUGGACGAUCUGAAAGCGUUGCAGAGCGUUAUCGGCACGUUGCAAUGGCCGACGACAUCGUCCUGGGAUUAUGUGUCGCAAGAUGAAGGUCAAAGCAAUAAGGUCUACUGUUCAUUUAACGAAACGACCGGCCAGACAACCUGUAAUCGUGAAAAAUCGACGACCUCGGGCUUAGGCUCGUGCCGGGUGCCGUAGUGAAUGGGGCCGGGAGCGCCUUUGAAUGUUGGGUGACGCAUUGCGUCGCCCAACCUGGGUAUCCCUUGCGGCUGGCGUUGUUCCGGUAGCGAUGCAUUUUUACGUUUUUGUAUUCACGGAAUGAACUGCAACGAAAUGGACCUUUCUCAGGUACGUCAGUGAAAUCGAAAAAGUGUGUCGGUUUUUUAUUCUGGCUGCUGCUAUGCGCCCUCAGUUUAACGCCUUUCUUCGCGCAGGCCGUGCGAAGCAGCGGCGCAUGGCAGGAACUCACUGAGCAAACUGCGGCUAUUAACGGCACUCCGCCGCAGGCCGACAGUGUAACGAUCCCGGUAUAUCAGGGUAGCGUUCAGUUGCGAUCUGAUGCGGCGAAUCCUGUAGCUCGUUAGGCUGGCCGACGCAGGGCUAUCCCUGUUUAUCUAAAUCAACCUCGAGCGGCGGCAUGUAUUGCGGCGUGGAUGAGAAUACCAGGCAACAAAACUGCGCCAUUAAGCCGGCAAGCACAGCAGGUUAUGCGACGUGUGUGGAGUAACGUAUUACGCGUCUGGCGCUACCUAUAUACUCUAAAUAAUUCGAGUUGCAGGAAGGCGGCAAGCGAGCGAAUCUCCGGGAGCUUACUAAAGUAAGUGACUGGGGGGAGGGAACGCAGCCGCAGCACAUGCAACUUGAAGUAUGACGAGUAUAUUUAAAAUAACGCCAGGUGUCGCAUGAUAAUUACCCCUUUUUGCUUCGCGCAUCUAUUUAUCUCAAUAUAUGAAAUCAUUAAAUGAUAUUCACAAUAUAAAUAGUUGGGUAGGGGAGCGUUCUGUAAGCCUGUGAAGGUGGCCUGUGAGGGUUGCUGGAGGUAUCAGAAGUGCGAAUGCUGACAUAAGUAACGAUAAAGCGGGUGAAAAGCCCGCUCGCCGGAAGACCAAGGGUUCCUGUCCAACGUUAAUCGGGGCAGGGUGAGUCGACCCCUAAGGCGAGGCCGAAAGGCGUAGUCGAUGGGAAACGGGUUAAUAUUCCCGUACUUGGUGUUACUGCGAAGGGGGGACGGAGAAGGCUAUGUUGGCCGGGCGACGGUUGUCCCGGUUUAAGCGUGUAGGUGUGUGUUCCAGGUAAAUCCGGUUCACUUUAACACUGAGGCGUGACGACGAGGCACUACGGUGCUGAAGCAACAAAUGCCCUGCUUCCAGGAAAAGCCUCUAAGCAUCAGGUAACAUCAAAUCGUACCCCAAACCGACACAGGUGGUCAGGUAGAGAAUACCAAGGCGCUUGAGAGAACUCGGGUGAAGGAACUAGGCAAAAUGGUGCCGUAACUUCGGGAGAAGGCACGCUGACAUGUAGGUGAAGUGAUUUACUCAUGGAGCUGAAGUCAGUCGAAGAUACCAGCUGGCUGCAACUGUUUAUUAAAAACACAGCACUGUGCAAACACGAAAGUGGACGUAUACGGUGUGACGCCUGCCCGGUGCCGGAAGGUUAAUUGAUGGGGUCAGCGCAAGCGAAGCUCCUGAUCGAAGCCCCGGUAAACGGCGGCCGUAACUAUAACGGUCCUAAGGUAGCGAAAUUCCUUGUCGGGUAAGUUCCGACCUGCACGAAUGGCGUAAUGAUGGCCAGGCUGUCUCCACCCGAGACUCAGUGAAAUUGAACUCGCUGUGAAGAUGCAGUGUACCCGCGGCAAGACGGAAAGACCCCGUGAACCUUUACUAUAGCUUGACACUGAACAUUGAGCCUUGAUGUGUAGGAUAGGUGGGAGGCUUUGAAGUGUGGACGCCAGUCUGCAUGGAGCCGACCUUGAAAUACCACCCUUUAAUGUUUGAUGUUCUAACGUGGACCCGUAAUCCGGGUUGCGGACAGUGUCUGGUGGGUAGUUUGACUGGGGCGGUCUCCUCCUAAAGAGUAACGGAGGAGCACGAAGGUUGGCUAAUCCUGGUCGGACAUCAGGAGGUUAGUGCAAUGGCAUAAGCCAGCUUGACUGCGAGCGUGACGGCGCGAGCAGGUGCGAAAGCAGGUCAUAGUGAUCCGGUGGUUCUGAAUGGAAGGGCCAUCGCUCAACGGAUAAAAGGUACUCCGGGGAUAACAGGCUGAUACCGCCCAAGAGUUCAUAUCGACGGCGGUGUUUGGCACCUCGAUGUCGGCUCAUCACAUCCUGGGGCUGAAGUAGGUCCCAAGGGUAUGGCUGUUCGCCAUUUAAAGUGGUACGCGAGCUGGGUUUAGAACGUCGUGAGACAGUUCGGUCCCUAUCUGCCGUGGGCGCUGGAGAACUGAGGGGGGCUGCUCCUAGUACGAGAGGACCGGAGUGGACGCAUCACUGGUGUUCGGGUUGUCAUGCCAAUGGCACUGCCCGGUAGCUAAAUGCGGAAGAGAUAAGUGCUGAAAGCAUCUAAGCACGAAACUUGCCCCGAGAUGAGUUCU
rnacentral:rRNA from 1 species